rnacentral:lncRNA from 1 species
AGAAGUUCCCACAAAGUCUGUUGACAGAGAAAGGUAUCUUGCAAACGGGAGCCAUCAUCUAACUGCAGUGCAAUCCGAACCGUGUUUCCAAUUCCCACUCUAUUACAAGAGACUGGCACCAUCUCCAGCUUGGCAUUGUUGGGCAGUCUGGCAAAUCUCCACUGUAAAGUGAGAUCCAACACAUUUCUCUGAAACUUCAGGCCGUACUCAGCGGGACUGCCGCCCUGCUUCCUGCAGACCUCCUCGAGAACCUGGAGCAGCACCGUGCCGGGCCCCACCCGCACCGUGACCCGCCGCCCGCUGGGGGCCAACACCGACACCGCCGCACCCCCCCCGCCCGCCGCCGCCAUCUUCCCUCCCGGGGAGGAGCCGCGCUGCGCCCGCCCCGCCCCGCCUCCCGCGGCCGCCGGUACGAGCGGGGCCUGCAGCGGGCUGCGGGGUGUUUGUCAGCCGAGAGAACGGGCUCGUAGGGAGCUCCCCGGGCAGAGCACGGCUCCGGGCUCGCCCCGCUCUGCGCCCGGCGGCACCGCCAUCCCCGCGGUGUGCGGCUCCGAGCCGACGCUCCCAGCGGCUGCCCGUGUGACAGCACGGAAAAGACGACGCUACGCCCGAACCUCCUCUGCCCCGCGAUCAGCGCUGCGAGCUCGUCCGUUCACAUGAGGUGUGCGCCGGGAGGAGCGGAGGGAGCCAGGAUCCGUCACAUCGUGUGCCCUCAGAGCGGACCGGAGCCUCCCUUCGCUCCCAGCACCGCCUCUGCUGCGCUGAACGCGUUCCCGAAGAGUCAGCCGUGGACGGUGCUUUGGUUGCUCCUGUCGUUAAGAAGGGGAGCCUGGGUUAGCCACUGGAAUCCCUUCAGCUGAAGCUUUUCCCCGCUGCCUCCAUCCAGCUCUGUCCUGCCCGGUUUGUAAAAGAAAAAGGCCCUUUUAAGGGAAGGCUGGUGUUAAAGAUAACGCUCGGUCUUCUUAAGCACAGCAAAGAAGGGAAGAAACGAGGCAGUGGGAAGGUGGUGAUGCAGACGUCCUCUGGCUGCCGAGCACAGCUCCCCAUAACCAACACCAGGACUGCUCUAUGGGAUGUGGUGACAGCAGUGAAGGAUGUUGCAUUGUACAACACAUUGUUUACACCAAUACUCAAAAAUGUCUUUAAUUCAUGGUUUCUGUUCUUUCUGUUGUGUUGGGAAGGGCCACUGUCACACCACUGCCUACAAAUGGGGCAACAAACACCACAACGUGCUUGUGUAUCAAAUCAAGGGACCCUGCCCUGACACUGGUGAACACCUUCACAGGAGGUAUGAAGAAGCAAUUAAAAUGGCUCUGUUAAUGACAGCUGCUGAGGUGGAGCAACCGUUGAGGUUUUAAAAGAUACAUUUUGGUUUUCAUGGAGCCUGAAAGUAGUUUCUGGAUGGGGGGUGGCUCUUGUUUGAUGCCAGGAAAAGGCAGCUGAUUGCUAUUUCGCAUCUGAAAGUGACACAACCUGUAGAGAAAAGUUGCUCCUGUUAAGAAAGAAAAAGACCACGGAUGUAAUUUCAGCUGAAAAUCUUCACGCUGCAGGAAAGGAGACGGACGUAGCUUUUAAUGGCAAGUCAGAGUCAGAAAGCUGCAUGGAGGUUAAGGGUCACAUUACGUAUCCAGAGCCACUUCUAAUCUUAAAUAUCCAUCUGAAAUUAGAAGCACCAGGAGAGAAAGGGGGGGGGGGGGGGGGAAAUAAACCUGGAGCUCAUUAAAGUGCAACAAAGAAAGAGGGACUCGUCAGGAAACAGCUGAAAAUAUCUUUAACAAUCCAGACUUCUGCCACUGUCAGGGUGAAGGUGCCUGCAAUGCUGCAGGUGAGCACAGCAAAAGAACACCCACUGCACUACAGAGUGCUAAGAAGCUGCUUUUCGUCAGCGAUUACAGUGAAGAAAGCGUAGAAGAAUCACAGAACGGCCUGGGUUGGGUUGGAAGGGAGCUCAAGGGUUAUCAAGCUGCAACCCCCUGCCACAGUCCUUCCCUGAAGUCACCUGUCGGGCAGCCAGCAGUGCUUGGCAUGAAGUAUGUAUUCCUGGAGCUGUGUGUGUUUGCGUUCAGUCACACACCCACGUGGAAUAAUGCAGAACUUUUACUGCUUGAAAACACACACACACACCACACAAAUACCCGACAACCUUUUUAUUUUCUUUCAAAUGGGUAAGAAAUUAACUGUGAACACCUGGAAACACCUUGUAACCAAAAUGUCAUGCAGAACAACAGUCGCUUAUCUCAGUAAGGAGGAUUUCUGUACAGCAUUUCCUCCUGCUGAGUCCCGGGGCUCCCA